GAAUUGGGCCUGCCUUCUCUGUUCUUAUACUGACUGUAUAGAAAGAGAAGAGCUCCUACCCUAUAUAUACCUCUGCCCAGGCCCUAGUCCUGGUCUGAAUUGUGAAUGGGGGGACAUGG
rnacentral:snoRNA from 1 species